rnacentral:rRNA from 1 species
AUUGAACGCUGGCGGCAUGCCUUACACAUGCAAGUCGAACGGUAACAGGUCUUCGGAUGCUGACGAGUGGCGAACGGGUGAGUAAUACAUCGGAACGUGCCUAGUAGUGGGGGAUAACUACUCGAAAGAGUGGCUAAUACCGCAUGAGAUCUACGGAUGAAAGCAGGGGAUCGCAAGACCUUGUGCUACUAGAGCGGCCGAUGGCAGAUUAGGUAGUUGGUGGGAUAAAAGCUUACCAAGCCGACGAUCUGUAGCUGGUCUGAGAGGACGAUCAGCCACACUGGGACUGAGACACGGCCCAGACUCCUACGGGAGGAAGCAGUGGGGAAUUUUGGACAAUGGGCGCAAGCCUGAUCCAGCAAUGCCGCGUGCAGGAUGAAGGCCUUCGGGUUGUAAACUGCUUUUGUACGGAACGAAAAGCCCUGGGUUAAUACCCUGGUGUUAUGACGGUACCGUAAGAACAAGCACCUGCUAACUACGUGCCAGCAGCCGCGGUAA